GACAGAGGGUGCAAACGUUGUUCGGAAUUACUGGGCGUAAAGCGCGUGUAGGCGGUUGGGUAAGUCGGAUGUGAAAGCCCCGGGCUCAACCCGGGAAGUGCAUUCGAUACUACUUGGCUAGAGUACUGGAGAGGAUGGUGGAACUCUCGGUGUAGAGGUGAAAUUCGUAGAUAUCGAGAAGAACACCGGCGGCGAAGGCGGCCAUCUGGACAGAUACUGACGCUGAGACGCGAAAGCGUGGGGGAGCAAACAGG
rnacentral:rRNA from 1 species